rnacentral:rRNA from 1 species
UACGUAGGGGGCAAGCGUUGUCCGGAUUUAUUGGGCGUAAAGAGCGUGUAGGCGGCCAGACAGGUCCGUUGUGAAAACUCGAGGCUCAACCUCGAGACGCCGAUGGAAACCGUCUGGCUAGAGUCCGGAAGAGGAGAGUGGAAUUCCUGGUGUAGCGGUGAAUGCGCAGAUAUCAGGAAGAACACCCGUGGCUAAGGCGGCUCUCUAGUACGGUACUGACGCUGAGACGCGAAAGCGUGGGGAGCGAACAGG